UACGGAGGGUGCAAACGUUGCUCGGAAUCAUUGGGCGUAAAGCGCACGUAGGUGGCCUGUUAAGUCGGGUGUGAAAGCCCUGGGCUCAACCCAGGAAGUGCACUCGAAACUGGCAGGCUUGAGUACUGAAGAGGGUCGCGGAAUUCCCGGUGUAGAGGUGAAAUUCGUAGAUAUCGGGAGGAACACCAGUGGCGAAGGCGGCGACCUGGGCAGAUACUGACACUGAGGUGCGAAAGCGUGGGGAGCAAACAGG
rnacentral:rRNA from 1 species